rnacentral:rRNA from 1 species
GAACGACUCUCGGCAACGGAUAUCUCGGCUCUCGCAUCGAUGAAGAACGUAGCGAAAUGCGAUACUUGGUGGCGCCCGAAGCCAUUAGGCCGAGGGCACGCCUGCCUGGGCGUCUCAC